UACAGAGGUCUCAACCGUUGUUCGGAAUUACUGGGCGUGAAAGGGCUCGUAGGCGGCCAACUAAGUCAGACGUGAAAUCCCUCGGCUUAACCGAGGAACUGCCUGUCAGACUGUUAGGCUUGAGACCGGGAGAGGUGAGUGGAAUUCCCAGUGUAGCGGUGAAAUGCGUAGAUAUUGGGAGGAACACCAGUGGCGAAGGCGGCUCACUGGACCGGUACUGACGCUGAGGCGCGAAAGCGUGGGGAGCAAACAGG
rnacentral:rRNA from 1 species